CACAUUUCUCCGUGCAACUCCUUGACAAAUAGCCUAGCAAGAAUCAUAGAUAUUAUAGGCGUUUUAGUUUCCCGUGUGUAUUCUCGUUCAGAAUUUUUGAAAUUGCAUAGCUUGCUACCUUAGCGUCUUUAAAUUACUGUAAUUUAUUAAGUUACCCUCUGCCUUUGUAGAUAACUAGCUAACCUUAGGUCUCUCCGUCGAUCAGAAGCAAGGAUGGUUAUGUGCUAUGUAACGUUACCGGAUUGUAACCACUACUCCAAUAAGAACAUGUACAUUUGAUCGUUUUCCAACCUCUGUAAGUGAGAGGCAUCGCUAGAGCUGUGUGAUAAGAUGGAUGGACCGGAAACGUAGUGACAACACUUUGGUCCAACAGGAGUGUAUCCCUCAGGCUAUCCGGUGCAUGGACAUCCUGUGACAGUGUGGUCCGGUUGUGGAGAUGGAGACUACAGCAGAUCGAGCCUGUGGACAGACAGACAGGAGGCGUGACAUGCGGAACAUCAGGCUCUCACCACGAGAAGCAGUGCAGGAUCAACAUCAGCCUCAGCAAGGAGAUCUGCUGGAAGUGUUUUACUAUAUACCGAUACUGACAGGAGGAGCAAUAUGAGUCAGAGGUCGUCAUGCUGAUUGGGAUGGUGAUGGAGGCUUUGGUGGUCCACACAACGAAGAAUCAGGUGUCACUUCCAGUGAUUUGGAGCUGACCUGGUGCUGGUAAGGAUUGUCUUCAUUGAGGCUGUAAGACCCUCCCUCCUUGAUAUAGAAAUUCUGUGACUUUACUGCCUCUUCAAUGGUAAGGUCCCUUGCACCGUAGGGACACUUGACCUCCACUACUGGGGCGGCAGGUAGUCUAGUGGUUAGAGCGUUGGGCCAGUAACCGAAACCGCUAUGCUCACUGACAAACCGGCCCUGACCAAACCGGUAAG